AUUGAACGCUGGCGGCAGGCCUAACACAUGCAAGUCGAGCGAGAGGCGGACGGGUGAGUAAUGUAUGGGGACUGCCCGCUAGAGGGGGAUAACUACUGGAAACGGUGGCUAAUAACGCAUACUAUCGGAUAACCCAUAUGGGGUUAGCUAGUAGGUGGGGUAAAGGCUCACCUAGGCGACGAUCUCUAGCUGGUCUGAGAGGAUGAACAGCCACACUGGGACUGAGACAUGGUCCAGAAUCCUACGGAGGCAGCAGUGGGGAAUAUUGAACAAUGGGCGAAAGCCUGAUGCAGCCAUGCCGCGUGUAUGAAGAAGGCCUUAGGGUUGUAAAGUACUUUCAGCGGGGAGGCGUUACCAUCAGAAGAAGCACCGGCUAACUCCGUGCCAGCCGCCGCGGUAAUUC
rnacentral:rRNA from 1 species